UUACAGCUACAGCAGGUCAUGAGGAAGGACUGAGACUGGCCCUUAGAUGGAACAAUGGUGUGGGGUUCUGUCUGAGAAGACCAAUGGAAAAACUCUCUGGAAAAUUAAACAUUACUUUGAGAAGCCAGGCUGAAGAUUCCAUCAACAGAGCAGUGCUCAGUUCAAAAACAAAAGGUGAAGAAAGAUAUACUCUUAGAGAAAGGACUAAGCCAAUUAUGACUGUAAGAUACACUUUUCCUUUUGAAGAUGGUUUUCACAAGAUACUUGGAUGACUGGACACCAGGGAAUGCUAAAGUGUUCACAGACUCUUGUCAGCAGGGCAGAGCUGAGUGUCCAGCAGGAGUCCCAGGGCCACGUCAUCAAGGGAACCUCAACACACCUCAGGCUCAUCCUACCUCCAAACUUGGACCUGGUGGCAUUGUCCAGGACACAGACCUCUCCAGGUACAGCCAGACCUCUUCCACAUCCCACGAGAUGGCUCUGAGCUAUAGAGAGAGACCUUGAUCCAGGAGGUUUUCACUGUGCAAGUUCCAAACAAGUUCCACCUGCUCAAGUGGAUCAAAAGAAGAUGAUAUGGCAGAGAAACUGGAAGAUGGCUAGAGGACUAAAGUGAGAGCCUGCAUCCAGAAGGACUAUGAAGAUCAACCUAAUAAAUUCCACUGACAACAGGCUGGGUCUAUCAGAAGUUUUGGCCUAUAAAUGUAGG